UUGAACGCUGGCGGCAGGCCUAACCCAUGCCAGUCGAACGGUAACAGGAAGAAGCUUGCUUCUUUGCUGACGAGUGGCGGACGGGUGAGUAAUGUCUGGGAAACUGCCUGAUGGAGGGGGAUAACUACUGGAAACGGUAGCUAAUACCGCAUAAUGUCGCAAGACCAAAGAGGGGGACCUUCGGGCCUCUUGCCAUCGGAUGUGCCCAGAUGGGAUUAGCUAGUAGGUGGGGUAACGGCUCACCUAGGCGACGAUCCCUAGCUGGUCUGAGAGGAUGACCAGCCACACUGGAACUGAGACACGGUCCAGACUCCUACGGGAGGCAGCAGUGGGGAAUAUUGCACAAUGGGCGCAAGCCUGAUGCAGCUAUGCCGCGUGUAUGAAGAAGGCCUUCGGGUUGUAAAGUACUUUCAGCGGGGAGGAAGGGAGUAAAGUUAAUACCUUUGCUCAUUGACGUUACCCGCAGAAGAAGCACCGGCUAACUCCGUG
rnacentral:rRNA from 1 species